rnacentral:rRNA from 1 species
AUUGAACGCUGGCGGCAUGCUUUACACAUGCAAGUCGAACGGCAGCACGGGCUUCGGCCUGGUGGCGAGUGGCGAACGGGUGAGUAAUAUAUCGGAACGUACCCAGAAGUGGGGGAUAACGUAGCGAAAGUUACGCUAAUACCGCAUACGAUCUAUGGAUGAAAGCAGGGGACCGCAAGGCCUUGUGCUCCUGGAGCGGCCGAUAUCUGAUUAGCUAGUUGGUGAGGUAAAGGCUCACCAAGGCGACGAUCAGUAGCUGGUCUGAGAGGACGACCAGCCACACUGGAACUGAGACACGGUCCAGACUCCUACGGGAGGCAGCAGUGGGGAAUUGUGGACAAUGGGCGCAAGCCUGAUCCAGCAAUGCCGCGUGAGUGAAGAAGGCCUUCGGGUUGUAGCUCUUUUGUCAGGGAAGAAACGGUAGAGGCUAAUAUCCUUUGCUAAUGACGGUACCUGAAGAAUAAGCACCGGCUAACUACGUG